rnacentral:rRNA from 1 species
AUUGAACGCUGGCGGCAGGCCUAACACAUGCAAGUCGAACGAGUGGCGGACGGGUGAGUAAUUUCUGGGAAACUGCCCGAUGGCGGGGGAUAACUACUGGAAACGGUAGCUAAUACCGCAUACCAUCGGAUGUGCCCAGAUGGGAUUAGCUAGUAGGUGGGGUAACGGCUUACCUAGGCGACUAUCCCUAGCUGGUCUGAGAGGAUGACCAGCCGCACUGGAACUGAGACACGGUCCAGACGCCAACGGGAGGCAGCAGUGGGGAAUAUUGCACAAUGGGCGCAAGCCUGAAGCAGCCAUGCCGCGGGUAUGAAGAAGGCCUUCGGAUUGUAAAGUACUUUCAGCGAGGAGGCGUUGCUCGCAGAAGAAGCACCGGCUAACUCCGUGCCAGCAGCCGCGGUAAUUC